ACGAACUGUGCGAACGUUAUUCGGAAUCACUGGGCUUAAAGGGUGCGUAGGCGGUUACUUAAGUAGGGUGUGAAAUGCCCCGGCUCAACCGGGGAACUGCGCUCUAAACUGGGUGGCUUGAGUAAGAUAGAGGUGUGCGGAACUUCCGGUGGAGCGGUGAAAUGUGUUGAUAUCGGAGGGAACACCAUUGGCGAAAGCGGCACACUGGGUCUUAACUGACGCUGAGGCACGAAAGCCAGGGGAGCGAACGGG
rnacentral:rRNA from 1 species